GACGAACGCUGGCGGCAUGCCUUACACAUGCAAGUCGAACGGUAACAGGUCUUCGGAUGCUGACGAGUGGCGAACGGGUGAGUAAUACAUCGGAACGUGCCCGAUCGUGGGGGAUAACGGAGCGAAGGCUUUGCUAAUACCGCAUACGAUCUACGGUUGAAAGCAGGGGACCGCAAGGCCUUGCGCGAACGGAGCGGCCGAUGGCAGAUUAGGUAGUUGGUGGGAUAAAAGCUUACCAAGCCGACGAUCUGUAGCUGGUCUGAGAGGACGACCAGCCACACUGGGACUGAGACACGGCCCAGACUCCUACGGGAGGCAGCAGUGGGGAAUUUUGGACAACGGGCGCAAGCCUGAUCCAGCAAUGCCGCGUGCAGGAUGAAGGCCUUCGGGUUGUAAACUGCUUUUGUACGGAACGAAAAGGCUCUGGUUAAUACCUGGGGCUCAUGACGGUACCGUAAGAAUAAGCACCGGCUAACUACGUGCCAGCAGCCGCCGUAAAAC
rnacentral:rRNA from 1 species